rnacentral:rRNA from 1 species
UACGUAGGGUGCAAGCGUUGUCCGGAAUUAUUGGGCGUAAGGAGCUCGUAGGCGGUUUGUUGCGUCGGCUGUGAAAUCCCGAGGCUCAACCUCGGGUCUGCAGUCGAUACGAGCAAACUAGAGUGUUGCAGGGGAGACUGGAAUUCCUGGUGUAGCGGUGAAAUGCGCAGAUAUCAGGAGGAACACCGGUGGCGAAGGCGGGUCUCUGGGCAACAACUGACGCUGAGACACGAAAGCGUGGGUAGCAAACAGG